CCUACGGGUGGCAGCAGUCGAGAAUCAUUCACAAUGGGGGAAACCCUGAUGGUGCGACGCCGCGUGGGGGAAUGAAGGUCUUCGGAUUGUAAACCCCUGUCAUGUGGGCGCAAAUUAAAAAGAUAGUACCACAAGAGGAAGAGACGGCUAACUCUGUGCCAGCAGCCGCGGUAAUACAGAGGUCUCAAGCGUUGUUCGGCAUCACUGGGCGUAAGGCGUGCGUAGGCUGUUUCGUAAGUCGUGUGUGAAAGGCGCGGGCUCAACCCGCGGACGGCACAUGAUACUGCGAGACUAGAGUAAUGGAGGGGGAACCGGAAUUCUCGGUGUAGCAGUGAAAUGCGUAGAUAUCGAGAGGAACACUCGUGGCGAAGGCGGGUUCCUGGACAUUAACUGACGCUGAGGCACGAAGGCCAGGGGAGCGAAAGGGAUUAGAUACCCUUGUAGUC
rnacentral:rRNA from 1 species